ACGAACCAAUUAUUGGUCAUUCUCAUUCUCUCAAAUUUGGUCAGAGUGGGAAAAAAGGUCGAGUCUUCAUGACCAAAGUAAAAAAAAAGGGUUGGAGUCUCUUUUUUCUCCUUCCUCGAGUUUCUGGAAUGACCAGUAACAUUCAGGGUGUCAUUUUCCCCAGGCACAGAAAGCAAGUCAGAACAAGUCUGAGCUAGCGAGAGAGAGAGAGAAAGUGAUACUUGCUGCCACUUUCCAGCUCGAAUAAGAUGUUGAGUGUCAUCUUCUCACUUUGCAACUCCUCCAUCCACCACAAAGCAUCAUCCUCAGGACUCACACUCUUGUACGGGCUCUGUCUAUGCCUGUCUAUCGGCAAGUGGUCUUCACUCGAUACCCUGGACGAAACUCGUUUGAAUGGAAAGAAGGAUGGAAUAGCCAACGAACCAGGGGUGGGUGCAUCCUCAACAAUAAGACGAGUGAGUGGAUGAUGGCACAUCUGUUGCGGUGAAAGUUCCUGUCCUACUGUUGGAAGCCCGCUAAUCUGGCAUCAAAUUGAAUCGAAACUAUUCGGUGAUGUGUGAUCGUCCUUCGAGAUUCGAAGGAAGACACCGCAUAAUCAUCUAUUACUUGGAACUCUCAAGGGAAGAGAUUUAAAAGUCAAGGCGAUUUUCUUGGAGGAAGCACCUCCAGACUAAAGCGAGGAUCGCGGACGACUUUGUUCUUUGAAAUGGCUUCUCACCAGCGACUUUAGAUCCUCUUUGUGGGGUUUAUCUGCGCUUUGAUCUCCCAACUUCCAACCCUUUUCCAAGCUAACUGUUUAUCGCAGCCAAUCAGUUCAUCCCAUGCGCUCUUGCCAUAAUAUCUUACCUUCAUGGGUCUGGAUUUGGAUCGGAUGGAGGAUUUUUCUGUCUUGACAUUGGCUCCCAAGACAAUGAAAUUGCAUGGGGACACUGGACGAUGGACAUCGAUCUCGGAGUCGUCCGAGUCGCUAUCAAUAUCACAGUCUGUUGACUCGGUUCCGUGAUUCCCACUAUACGGG